rnacentral:rRNA from 1 species
AUGCCUAGCUUGUUGGCUGACUUUGGGGGUAUCCCUGGAAACCUCCCUUGCACCUACCUAGGCUUGCCUCUGAGUAUUAGGAAACCAACCCGGGCUGAAUUGCAGCCUACCUUGGAUAAACUUGUUGGGCGAUUGCAGCCAUGGAAAGGGAAGCUCAUGACCAAGCUGGGACGGUGCUUGCUUGUAAAUUCUGUCCUCACAGCAACUCUCACGUACAUCCUUACCUCCUUUGAUCUGAGUGCUUGGUUCAUUAAGAGGAUUGACAAGCUGAGGCGGGGCUUUUUGUGGGCUGGCGAAGAGGGUGCCCAUGGAGGGAAAUGCAUGGUGUCCUGGAAAAAAGUGUGUGCUCCGAAGUUGACUGGGGGCCUCGGUAUCAAGGACUUAAAAUGUUUUGGUAGAGCUCUUCGCUUGUGCUGGCUGUGGAUGGAGUGGGACUAUGUUCAGAGACCAUAG